GGAGGCGUAAUUCAUAAAUAGAUAAAUAUAGGAAAGGACAACAAAGAAAAUAGGGAUAGAAUAACGGGCAGAGAAUUAAGAGAUGAUGUCAGGUGAUUAGUUUUCUCAUCUAAAAGCUUGAAAAUCCUGCAUGUUUGUGGAGUGGUCAAACAGGUGGUGAAGAGGUGUGUGCAUAAAAUAAGUAGUACUCCUUGUAUUUCUUUUCACCAAUGCUCUUUGGAUCUGGACCCGCUUUUUCUUUGUUAAGUGUAUAGUUAAAUUAACAGGUUGAAAUUAGGUUUAGUUCUCAGGUUAGAUGCCCAAGAUGUUUGAUGGCAGUGUAAUAUGGUGAAGGGAGACUACUUGUUUCCUAGUUUUGGUAAACUUGGGCGAGAGAUUGUUCAGUGUCUCUAUACCUUCCUUAUCCGCAAGAUAAGGUAGUUAUAGUACCCUUCACAUAGGAUUGUUUUGAGCAUAACAUGGUAUUCAUGUGUAUGAAGAGCUUGGAGUAUUCACUGGGCAAACUAUUUGAUUCUACAAUAGCUGAUGAGGGAACAUGGACUUUGGAGGACAGAAAAAUGGUUCGUAUUGUUCUUACAAAGACAAAGAGAGAUGCAGCAAAUUGUUGGACUUCUCUACUAGAAUCUGAAUAUGCAGCGGAUCCUUGGGUGCAAGACCAAAUGC
rnacentral:sRNA from 1 species